rnacentral:lncRNA from 1 species
CUUGUGUUUAAAUUUCAUUGAUUUCUAUUUACUUAUACUAAAGUUAUUGUGCGAAAACCAAGAAUAAUGCUUAUUUGGGCCCUUUUUUUGGCCCCUUAUUCCUAAACUGUUAGAACCAAAACUCCCAAAAUCAAUCCCAACCUGUCUUUCGUGGUCAUAAACCUUGUGUCAAAAUUUCAUAGAUUUCUAUUUACUUAAACUAAAGUUAUAGUGCGAAAACCAAGAAAAUGCUUAUUUGGGCCCUUUUUGGCCCCUAAUUCCUAAAAUGUUAUGACCAAAACUCCCAAAAUCAAUCCCAACCUUCCUUCUGUGGUCAUAAACCUUGUGUUAAAAUUUCAUAGAUUUCUAUUCACUUUUAC